rnacentral:lncRNA from 1 species
GAGAUGCUCUUUCUUAUGAACUGUCUGUGUUUUUAUAGAAUAAAACCAUCCCACACAAAGUAUCUCUUCUGCUGUCAUCGUAUGCUUGUGUUCUCUCUUCAGCCGGCAGCGGAGAGGAACUUAUUAAAGUCAUAGGUGUUGAGUGAAAAAACAUAAAUUAUAAACAUCUAGUCAUUAUUUUUUUUAUACAUUUCUGGAGUUGUUUAUUUUGUAUAAUAGCCAAUUCUUAAGUCUGUACCAUGAAAAAUAUGAGUUAAAUAAUGGAUAAUUAAUCUUUACAUAAUCUCAUGGCAUU